rnacentral:misc_RNA from 1 species
GAUGAAGAACGCAGCGAAAUGCGAAAAGUAAUGUGAAUUGCAGAAUUCAGUGAAUCAUCGAAUCUUUGAACGCACAUUGCGCCCGCCAGUAUUCCGGCGGGCAUGCCUGUCUGAGCGUCAUUUCAACCCUCACGCCCCUAGGGCGUGGUGUUGGGGAUCGGCCAAGGCCCGCAAGGGACGGCCGGCCCCUAAAUCUAGUGGCGGACCCAUCGUGGCCUCCCCUGCGAAGUAGUAAUAUAUUCCGCAUCGGAUAGCGAUGAGCCCCUGCCGUUAAACCCCCAACUCUUUCAAGGUUGACCUCAGAUCAGGUAGGAAUACCCGCUGAACUUAAGCAUAUCAAUAAGCGGAGGA